UCCCCUCGCGAGGCCGCGCGAGCGCUCGGCCAGCGGCGGCGCUCUGCGCCUCGGCUGCUCGGCUCCGGCCUCCGGCGGCCCCGUCCCCGACUCCCCGGCGCCGCGGCGCACCCCAUCCCCGGCAGCACUGCUACAUCCUCCAGGCCCCGCAUCGCCUAUUCGCCUCGGGCCCUCGCCCCUCGGCUCCCGCAAGCCGCAGCUCGCACAGUCGCAGGGCGCAGCGGCGCAGCCACUGGCUCCAAGCCGGCCACGCCCGGUGCGGAGGCGCCCAAUCCUAGUCAAAUCUCGACCCAGAUUCUUGGAUUUGUGAAGUAUGAAGAGGGAUGGAGACAUUGCUUCUAUGUUCCGAAAGCAUGCUGCAAAAAAAUGUGCAUCAGUUUCAUCUCCUGUGGUGGAAGAGCAAAAUCAAGAGCAAGAGCAUCAGGAAGAGAGAGUAAUUGAAGAAGUUGUUGGUCCUACUCCUACACCACCUCCAUCUGUAGAACCAGUUGAAGAUGUGUUGCCGUCUCCACCUCCACCAUCACCGCCAGCGCCAUCACUGCCGCCGCCGCCGUUGCCGCCAUAAGGUUUUGACGUCGAUCACCUUCCACAUGAUCCAGGUGAAAGGUUUCCUAUUGCAAGUUAUCAUCCUAAUGAUCAAGAUGCAAUUAGAAGAGCCUAUAUUCUUAGAGGGGUCUGAAGGAUGGAAUCAAUUCCUUCAAAAGGUCACUUUGUUUUGCAACAAGCAUGGUGUCGAAGUUCCUACUAUGGAGGGUAAUUAUGUGCCUUUUUGAAGAUCACGACGGUUUGUCCAAAAUCAAACAAAUGAUGAUCAUUUCAGAAGAGAGGUAUACAUUGGGGUCAUUGAUAAAAUUAGUCAAGAGCUUGAUAGUCGGUUUGAUGAGGUUAAUAUGGAGUUGCUUUCUUGUAUGUCUGCCCUCAACCCUUCUAAUUCAUUUGCAUCAUUUGAUGCACAAAAGGUACGCCGACUUGCCGAAUUCUACCCCAAAGACAUUUUUGGCUCUGAUUUGGUUAGGCUAGAAUUGCAACUUGAUACUUAUAUUGAUGUCAUGAGACAUGAUGAUAGAUUCAGUGGUCUGGAAAACCUUGUUGAUCUCUCGGUUAAGCUAGUGGAAACAAAUAGGCACAAUGUUUAUGAUUUGGUUUACUUGCUUCUCAAAAUGGUAUUGCUUCUACCGGUGGCGACGGCAAGUGUUGAGAGGGCAUUUUCUGGUAUGGACUUUGUCAAAACCAAACGAAGAAAUAAAAUGAGUGAUACUCUCUUGGAUGAUUGUCUUGUCACGUUCAUGGAAAGAGAUAUUUUGAAAGAUGUGGAUGAAGAUGAUGUAAUCAAGACUUUCAUGGCCAUUAGAAACCGUAGGCCUAAAAAAAUAGUGUUGUAAUCCUAUUUAAGCUUGUAUCGUUUAUAUUCCAAACUAUUAGUGUGUUGUUUUAAACUAUUUGGAUUGUAAUUUAAGACUUAUUAUG